rnacentral:rRNA from 1 species
GACGAACGCUGGCGGCGUGCUUAACACAUGCAAGUCGAUCGGAAAGGCCCUGCUUUUGUGGGGUGCUCGAGUGGCGAACGGGUGAGUAACACGUGAGUAACCUGCCCUUGACUUUGGGAUAACUUCAGGAAACUGGGGCUAAUACCGGAUAGGAGCUCCUGCUGCAUGGUGGGGGUUGGAAAGUUUCGGCGGUUGGGGAUGGACUCGCGGCUUAUCAGCUUGUUGGUGGGGUAGUGGCUUACCAAGGCUUUGACGGGUAGCCGGCCUGAGAGGGUGACCGGCCACAUUGGGACUGAGAUACGGCCCAGACUCCUACGGGAGGCAGCAGUGGGGAAUAUUGCACAAUGGGCGGAAGCCUGAUGCAGCAACGCCGCGUGCGGGAUGACGGCCUUCGGGUUGUAAACCGCUUUCGCCUGUGACGAAGCGUGAGUGACGGUAAUGGGUAAAGAAGCACCGGCUAACUACGUGCCAGCAGCCGCGGUGAUACGUAGGGUGCGAGCGUUGUCCGGAUUUAUUGGGCGUAAAGGGCUCGUAGGUGGUUGAUCGCGUCGGAAGUGUAAUCUUGGGGCUUAACCCUGAGCGUGCUUUCGAUACGGGUUGACUUGAGGAAGGUAGGGGAGAAUGGAAUUCCUGGUGGAGCGGUGGAAUGCGCAGAUAUCAGGAGGAACACCAGUGGCGAAGGCGGUUCUCUGGGCCUUUCCUGACGCUGAGGAGCGAAAGCGUGGGGAGCGAACAGGCUUAGAUACCCUGGUAGUCCACGCUGUAAACGGUGGGUACUAGGUGUGGGGUCCAUUCCACGGGUUCCGUGCCGUAGCUAACGCUUUAAGUACCCCGCCUGGGGAGUACGGCCGCAAGGCUAAAACUCAAAGGAAUUGACGGGGCCCCGCACAAGCGGCGGAGCAUGCGGAUUAAUUCGAUGCAACGCGUAGAACCUUACCUGGGUUUGACAUGGAUCGGGAGCGCUCAGAGAUGGGUGUGCCUCUUUUGGGGUCGGUUCACAGGUGGUGCAUGGCUGUCGUCAGCUCGUGUCGUGAGAUGUUGGGUUAAGUCCCGCAACGAGCGCAACCCUUGUUCACUGUUGCCAGCACGUUAUGGUGGGGACUCAGUGGAGACCGCCGGGGUCAACUCGGAGGAAGGUGGGGAUGACGUCAAGUCAUCAUGCCCCUUAUGUCCAGGGCUUCACGCAUGCUACAAUGGCUGGUACAGAGAGUGGCGAGCCUGUGAGGGUGAGCGAAUCUCGGAAAGCCGGUCUCAGUUCGGAUUGGGGUCUGCAACUCGACCUCAUGAAGUCGGAGUCGCUAGUAAUCGCAGAUCAGCAACGCUGCGGUGAAUACGUUCCCGGG